AUUAGUGUAUUUUUUUUAUUGCAAACUAAAACCCCAAAUUAACAAAAGUAGAAGCUUAAAUUCAAAAAAUUAAUUAAAUUAGAUGGAGGCCAACUUAAAAGGACCAAACUAGAUGGAGCCCAAACUUAAAUGGAGACCAACCUAAAAAUUAAAUGGAGCCCAAAAUCAAUGAAAAAAGAAAAAAAACUAAUGGAGGCCUAAGUAACGAGGAAAACCUAACAAAGCCCAAGAUAAAAAAUAAAAAACUAAAAAUAAAAUAAUCCAACUAUAAAAGGCAAAAGUAAGCCGCCCUAAUUUUUGUUUUCAAUAAAUUACACAAAUAAAUAAAUAAAAUUUGAAGACUGUACGACAAUGGACUCAAAUCUAUAACUUCAGGUCUUGGGUAUUAAUCACCUACCGCUAAAUCAACACACGCACACAAGCCGUCCUAAAUCUUUCUUCUUCUUCAACAUGCGCGUCACCUCUGCAUUUCUUCUUCCUUUUUUUUUUUUUUUUUUUAUCUUUCUUCUACUGCUUGGGUCUUCUUUUUCCUCUAUCUUUUUCUUAAUUUCUAUGAACAAUAGGGAUGAGUUUGCAAUUUCUAAAAAAAUAACAAAGUGAGUUGAGGUGAUGAAGAAGUGUAGACGCAAAAUGGCAUUGUAUUGUUCAAAAUGUGGUUCCAAACUCAUUUUAAAUUUGAGUUAGCAUCACUAUUAGAGCAAAUUUGAUAUUGCAAAAUGAGUUUUACAGUACCAUUGAAG
rnacentral:lncRNA from 1 species